AGGCAGCUGGGGUAAGGAGUUCAAGGCAGCGCCCACACCCGGGGGCUCUCCGCAACCCGACCGCCUGUCCGCUCCCCCACUUCCCGCCCUCCCUCCCACCUACUCAUUCACCCACCCACCCACCCAGAGCCGGGACGGCAGCCCAGGCGCCCGGGCCCCGCCGUCUCCUCGCCGCGAUCCUGGACUUCCUCUUGCUGCAGGACCCGGCUUCCACGUGUGUCCCGGAGCCGGCGUCUCAGCACACGCUCCGCUCCGGGCCUGGGUGCCUACAGCAGCCAGAGCAGCAGGGAGUCCGGGACCCGGGCGGCAUCUGGGCCAAGUUAGGCGCCGCCGAGGCCAGCGCUGAACGUCUCCAGGGCCGGAGGAGCCGCGGGGCGUCCGGGUCUGAGCCGCAGCAAAUGGGCUCCGACGUGCGGGACCUGAACGCGCUGCUGCCCGCCGUCCCCUCCCUGGGUGGCGGCGGCGGCUGUGCCCUGCCUGUGAGCGGCGCGGCGCAGUGGGCGCCGGUGCUGGACUUUGCGCCCCCGGGCGCUUCGGCUUACGGGUCGUUGGGCGGCCCCGCGCCGCCACCGGCUCCGCCGCCACCCCCGCCGCCGCCGCCUCACUCCUUCAUCAAACAGGAGCCGAGCUGGGGCGGCGCGGAGCCGCACGAGGAGCAGUGCCUGAGCGCCUUCACUGUCCACUUUUCCGGCCAGUUCACUGGCACAGCCGGAGCCUGUCGCUACGGGCCCUUCGGUCCUCCUCCGCCCAGCCAGGCGUCAUCCGGCCAGGCCAGGAUGUUUCCUAACGCGCCCUACCUGCCCAGCUGCCUCGAGAGCCAGCCCGCUAUUCGCAAUCAGGGUUACAGCACGGUCACCUUCGACGGGACGCCCAGCUACGGUCACACGCCCUCGCACCAUGCGGCGCAGUUCCCCAACCACUCAUUCAAGCAUGAGGAUCCCAUGGGCCAGCAGGGCUCGCUGGGUGAGCAGCAGUACUCGGUGCCGCCCCCGGUCUAUGGCUGCCACACCCCCACCGACAGCUGCACCGGCAGCCAGGCUUUGCUGCUGAGGACGCCCUACAGCAGUGACAAUUUAUACCAAAUGACAUCCCAGCUUGAAUGCAUGACCUGGAAUCAGAUGAACUUAGGAGCCACCUUAAAGGGGUAAGGUUUUCUCUAUUCCAUUGCCUUUCCACAGUAACUUAUACCUGUUUGAACCAUUUCAAAGGUGCUUAGAACUUAUGAAGAAAGUACAGUUUUAGAAGAAAGGGCAAAGCUCUCUGUGACAUUAGAACGCUUUCCUCCUUCCCCUAGUUGAGUUGCUGCUGGGAGCUCCAGCUCAGUGAAAUGGACAGAAGGGCAGAGCAACCACAGCACAGGGUACGAGAGCGAUAACCACACAACGCCCAUCCUCUGCGGAGCCCAAUACAGAAUACACACGCACGGUGUCUUCAGAGGCAUUCAGGAUGUGCGACGUGUGCCUGGAGUAGCCCCGACUCUUGUACGGUCGGCAUCUGAGACCAGUGAGAAACGCCCCUUCAUGUGUGCUUACCCAGGCUGCAAUAAGAGAUAUUUUAAGCUGUCCCACUUACAGAUGCACAGCAGGAAGCACACUGGUGAGAAACCAUACCAGUGUGACUUCAAGGACUGUGAACGAAGGUUUUCUCGUUCAGACCAGCUCAAAAGACACCAAAGGAGACAUACAGGUGUGAAACCAUUCCAGUGUAAAACUUGUCAGCGAAAGUUCUCCCGGUCCGACCACCUGAAGACCCACACCAGGACUCAUACAGGUAAAACAAGUGAAAAGCCCUUCAGCUGUCGGUGGCCAAGUUGUCAGAAAAAGUUUGCCCGGUCAGAUGAAUUAGUCCGCCAUCACAACAUGCAUCAGAGAAACAUGACCAAACUCCAGCUGGCGCUUUGAGGGGUCUCCCUCGGGGACCGUUCAGUGUCCCAGGCAGCACAGUGUGUGAACUGCUUUCAAGUCUGACUCUCCACUCCUCCUCACUAAAAAGGAAACUUCAGUUGAUCUUCUUCAUCCAACUUCCAAGACAAGAUACCGGUGCUUCUGGAAACUACCAGGUGUGCCUGGAAGAGUUGGUCUCUGCCCUGCCUACUUUUAGUUGACUCACAGGCCCUGGAGAAGCAGCUAACAAUGUCUGGUUAGUUAAAAGCCCAUUGCCAUUUGGUGUGGAUUUUCUACUGUAAGAAGAGCCAUAGCUGAUCAUGUCCCCCUGACCCUUCCCUUCUUUUUUUAUGCUCGUUUUCGCUGGGGAUGGAAUUAUUGUACCAUUUUCUAUCAUGGAAUAUUUAUAGGCCAGGGCAUGUGUAUGUGUCUGCUAAUGUAAACUUUGUCAUGGUUUCCAUUUACUAACAGCAACAGCAAGAAAUAAAUCAGAGAGCAAGGCAUCGGGGGUGAAUCUUGUCUAACAUUCCCGAGGUCAGCCAGGCUGCUAACCUGGAAAGCAGGAUGUAGUUCUGCCAGGCAACUUUUAAAGCUCAUGCAUUUCAAGCAGCUGAAGAAAAAAUCAGAACUAACCAGUACCUCUGUAUAGAAAUCUAAAAGAAUUUUACCAUUCAGUUAAUUCAAUGUGAACACUGGCACACUGCUCUUAAGAAACUAUGAAGAUCUGAGAUUUUUUUGUGUAUGUUUUUGACUCUUUUGAGUGGUAAUCAUAUGUGUCUUUAUAGAUGUACAUACCUCCUUGCACAAAUGGAGGGGAAUUCAUUUUCAUCACUGGGAGUGUCCUUAGUGUAUAAAAACCAUGCUGGUAUAUGGCUUCAAGUUGUAAAAAUGAAAGUGACUUUAAAAGAAAAUAGGGGAUGGUCCAGGAUCUCCACUGAUAAGACUGUUUUUAAGUAACUUAAGGACCUUUGGGUCUACAAGUAUAUGUGAAAAAAAUGAGACUUACUGGGUGAGGAAAUCCAUUGUUUAAAGAUGGUCGUGUGUGUGUGUGUGUGUGUGUGUGUGUGUGUGUUGUGUUGUGUUUUGUUUUUUAAGGGAGGGAAUUUAUUAUUUACCGUUGCUUGAAAUUACUGUGUAAAUAUAUGUCUGAUAAUGAUUUGCUCUUUGACAACUAAAAUUAGGACUGUAUAAGUACUAGAUGCAUCACUGGGUGUUGAUCUUACAAGAUAUUGAUGAUAACACUUAAAAUUGUAACCUGCAUUUUUCACUUUGCUCUCAAUUAAAGUCUAUUCAAAAGGAAA